AGAGUUUGAUCAUGGCUCAGGAUGAACGCUAGCUACAGGCUUAACACAUGCAAGUCGAGGGGCAGCAUGGUCUUAGCUUGCUAAGGCCGAUGGCGACCGGCGCACGGGUGAGUAACGCGUAUCCAACCUGCCUUACACUCUUGGACAGCCUUCUGAAAGGGAGAUUAAUACAAGAUGUUAUCAUGAGUAAGCAUUUUCGCAUGAUUAAAGGUUUACCGGUGUAAGAUGGGGAUGCGUUCCAUUAGAUAGUAGGCGGGGUAACGGCCACCUAGUCUUCGAUGGAUAGGGGUUCUGAGAGGAAGGUCCCCCACAUUGGAACUGAGACACGGUCCAAACUCCUACGGGGAGACAG
rnacentral:rRNA from 1 species